GCGUCGUAUCGCCAAUACAGGUUCUUGUUGGCUUCUCCUUCGUUUCACGUGUUGUUGUGGUCAGUUGAAGACUAAUUUUGUGAUUUAAACUUUAAACGGAUCCCCAAAGUUGGAUGUUUAAUGAUGGAUCCCAGUGGAGAAGAUGAGGUAGGGCAUACGAAGAACGGCGAAGAAAUAUUUGAAGAUGCAGAAGAAGGCGAUUGUUUCAAUGGCAAUUGUGAAAGCAAUGGAGGUUGUUUGGAUGAAGGAGAUGCUCUGGGCAGGCCUGGCUCUCGCCCUGGAGAAAUCUACGCUCGGAUGCCCGUUCCAAAAUACGCAACACAUUACAAAAUGGACCACAAGAAACGAGGCGUUGCUCUGAUCUUUAAUCAUGAAAUGUUCGAAUGCUUUGGUUUAAAAUCCCGGGCUGGCACCAAUGAGGACUGCCGAAACCUAAGCGACUCUCUCAGAUAUCUCGGCUUCGACGUGCAAAUUUUUAAGGAUCUAUCAUACAUGGAAUUGGAAAAUCGGAUAAGAGACGUGUCUGCCAUGGAUCAUACCCAUCACGACUGUCUCUUCAUUGCCGUCCUUUCUCAUGGGGAAUCGAACAUUGUGUAUGCAAAGGACAAUGCAUACAAACCGGAUAUUUUAUGGACGUUUUUCACACCCGACAGGUGCCCAACAUUAGCAGGUAAACCGAAGAUGUUCUUUAUGCAAGCUUGCCAAGGCGAUAAACUGGAUGGCGGUGUGAAUUUAGCAAUGAGCAGAACAGAGACCGACGGAGAGAUUUUCACGUCCUACAAAAUUCCGUCCCAGGCCGAUUUUCUGAUUGUGUUCUCCACAGUUCACGGUUACUAUUCUUGGCGCAAUACCACCAAAGGGUCCUGGUUCGUUCAAGCUCUGAGCGAUGAGCUGCAGCGCAGAGCUCACGAACAGGAUCUGAUGACGAUCCUCACCUUCGUGUCUCAACGCGUAGCUGUGGACUUUGAAAGCAAUGUUCCCGACUCACCAACCAUGCACAGACAGAAGCAAAUUCCCUGUGUGAUGAGCAUGCUUACGCGGCUCAUUAAAUUCACCAUCCCCGGGUAUGGAACUAGUAGCGGGUCUAAGUAGGUUGGGUAAUUUUUGGAGAAUCUGCUUACCUGUAAAACUGGCUACUGUUUCCAUUGUGCUCUCUGCUACUUUCAUUAAUUAAUAUUUAAAGCUGAUUCUCCACGAAUGCUUCAACUGGCUGGUUAUGUAAAUAUGGGGUUUAUUUACUAGAAGGGCAUGCUAAUGAUUGAGGAACUAGAUUGUCGUUUAUUGGAUUGAUUUCAGUUGCUUGCUGGUGGGAAAUUUGUCAAUUGUUAAGCACCACUUUAUUUAAAUAAUACACUUUCAAUCGAGUGUAUCGUAUCGCGAUAAGCAUGUCUAUUUGUACUUCAAGGUGUCAGUGUUGUGUAGACCGUAAUUUCUUCAUACCCUAACUAGCUAAUAUGAGAAAUUUUGGAUAAAAAAUCCGAUGCUGCCCCUGAAAAUGACACUGCCUCAUGUUCAAGCAGUUAAAUUUUUGAUACAAUGCGAUAAACUACCUAUUGAAUGACCCAAUACCAUUUUACACUAAAAAUAUAUUUAGAGAAUACGUAUUUUUGUAUACCGUGCCAUUGUCUUUCAUGCAGACCUUUUUGUACGCCAAUUUACAAGAAUGCUUUUUUAUGCAUCUGAGCUAAAUGUAUCAAAUUUAAAUGUAAAAAUGACAGAAUAUUUUAAAAUGCUACUUUUUCCUGUUUAACUAAAGACUUUGCAAUGUAUGAAAAGGGGGAAACUUUGGUUUUUGCCAACUAUUCCUCGGGCAUUUAAUAGUGCAAUAAAAUCAUACAAAACGAAAAAAGUCCUUGAGCAUUUGGAUAGCUGGAAUUAUCCAUUAAUAUGUUGUAUGUUUUUUCUGUCAUUUGUUUAUAUUUUGACAAUUUAUCCUAGAUGCGCAUUUAUUUUUCUAGAUUAAGUCUUAAGCUAUAAUCAAGUGAUGAAUCUUUUAAAAUUCGACUGUCCUACUUACUAAUAGUGCUAGCUAUUCGCUUUUAUCAAUCGAAUUUGCAGAAGGUUCAUUAAUUUUUACAUAUCUUGGUUAUUUAGAUUAGGUACCUAUGUUUAUUGCUCAUUUUUAUUUUAGAGUAGAAAAUUAUUAUGGUAUUCCUAUUAUAUUAUACUUUAGUGAAUUUUUUUGAUAUAUUUUUAUGUAUCUACUUAUUUGCUAAUAAAUAUUCUUCAAUUA
rnacentral:misc_RNA from 1 species